rnacentral:rRNA from 1 species
AACGAACGCUGGCGGCAGGCUUAACACAUGCAAGUCGAACGCUCGUAGCAAUACGGGAGUGGCAGACGGGUGAGUAACGCGUGGGAACGUACCUUUCGGUUCGGAAUAACCCGGGGAAACUCGGGCUAAUACCGGAUACGUCCGCAAGGAGAAAGAUUUAUCGCCGAAAGAUCGGCCCGCGUCGGAUUAGCUAGUUGGUGAGGUAACGGCCCACCAAGGCGACGAUCCGUAGCUGGUCUGAGAGGAUGAUCAGCCACACUGGGACUGAGACACGGCCCAGACUCCUACGGGAGGCAGCAGUGGGGAAUAUUGGACAAUGGGCGAAAGCCUGAUCCAGCCAUGCCGCGUGAGUGAAGAAGGCCUUAGGGUUGUAAAGCUCUUUCAGCGGGAAGAUAAUGACGGUACCCGCAGAAGAAGUCCCGGCUAACUUCGUGCCAGCCGCCGCCGUAAG